rnacentral:rRNA from 1 species
UACGUAGGGUGCGAGCGUUAAUCGGAAUUACUGGGCGUAAAGCGUGCGCAGGCGGUUUUGUAAGCCAGAUGUGAAAUCCCCGGGCUUAACCUGGGAAUGGCAUUUGGGACUGCAAGGCUGGAGUGCGGCAGAGGAGACUGGAAUUCCUGGUGUAGCAGUGAAAUGCGUAGAUAUCAGGAGGAAUACCGAUGGCGAAGGCAGGUCUCUGGGCUGAUACUGACGCUCAUGCACGAAAGCGUGGGGAGCAAACAGG